AACGAACGCUGGCGGCAGGCCUAACACAUGCAAGUCGAGCGAAGCCUUCGGGCUUAGCGGCGGACGGGUGAGUAACGCGUGGGAACGUGCCCUUAGGUACGGAAUAGCCCCGGGAAACUGGUCGUAAUACCGUAUGUGGCCGAUAGGCGAAAGAUUUAUCGCCAUAGGAUCGGCCCGCGUCGGAUUAGGUAGUUGGUGGGGUAAUGGCCUACCAAGGCGACGAUCAGUAGCUGGUCUGAGAGGAUGAUCAGCCACACUGGGACUGAGACACGGCCCAGACUCCUACGGGAGGCAGCAGUGGGGAAUCUUAGACAAUGGGGGAAAGCCUGAUGCAGCCAUGCCGCGUGAUCGAUGAAGGCCUUAGGAUUGUAAAGUUCUUUCAGUGGGGAAGAUAAUGACGGUACCCACAGAAGAAGCCCCGGCUAACUCCGUGCCAGCAGCCGCCGUAACAC
rnacentral:rRNA from 1 species